AAAGUACUGAAACAAAAACUGGACACAUCCAUUCCCUUUUUACUAAAUAUAUCGUUCCCUAUUUUGAAUAGCGUACUGUUAAAUCCAGUAUUUCCAAAUGUCAAUCUUAAGGAGUUGCCUUAAGGACCUUACGUUUUCAUCUUAUACCAAAGAAAUUUGUAUUCUUCGAAUUUCCGCUUUGAUUUGAAGUUAUUGAAAUAUUAAUAAAUUCAAAGACAGUAUAGAGGUUUGGUUCGACAUUUUGUGAAACAAUUCUUCGUUUUUUGUACAGAGUUAAAUGAGAAGAUGACCCCACUCUCCUUUUCACAUGAUAGCUAUAAAGCUGUGUCCAACAGCUGCUAGCUUAGCUUAGCCUAGCUUAGCAUAAAGACUGAAAACAAGUGGAAAACAGCUAGCCUAGCUCAGUCUGAAGGUAACAAAGUCUAAACCUCGUUACGUAGCAUAGUGUAACCAUGGACAUCAGAACUUCAGCUGAACAUUAUUUGGACACCAUGCAAUAGAGGAUGAACAUGUGUGGUGAGCAGAAACGUGACACCGUGUGAUUGUGUGACUCCUCCACUUGCCCCGUUGUUGACCACACCCGGCCAGUUGGCAGCCAGAGGAGAAAAUCUGAGCUUCCAUCUUACUCAGUGAGCUCAAAUUUAAUCUCCAGGAGUCUGUAGCUGUGCUCACUGGAGGCGGGUAUCUGUGUCGGUGGAGUUUGCCCUGGUUGGACAUGUGUCUCUGGGUGGAGCGAGAUGGACGAGCGAAGCAGAAGGUCAAGGUGCUGCUGGUGCUGUCAUCGUAGUUCCUGUCCUGAUUAUAAGACAGAGAAACAUACUUUUGAGAGGUAGAUUAAAGAAAUUUAGUAUUUCAAUAGAAUACCAGAUUGUGUUGCUGUUGUGAUUUUCUUUUGACUGAAUCAAUUCAGCCCUGGAGCUCAUGUCCAGUUUUAAAUGAGUCUAAAUGAUUGUGUGUACCCAGAAAUGGUGACUAUCAGAACCAUAUUAAAGGUGACAGGUGGCGAACAGGUUAUGCACCCUAACAGCUGACUUUGUGACUGUGAUAUACAGAAGUCAGUGAUUGAAUUGGUGGUUGGUGGUCAAA